rnacentral:lncRNA from 1 species
UUUAAUGGAGCUACUUCUGUUUCUGCUCUUUGCCAGCUGUAGUGUGACACUGGGGAUCUGCUCAGUAAAAUGAUAACACUUGCACAACAAACUGUUUGUCCCUGGCUGGUUGACAAACUGAGAGCAGUGGUAUUGUUUUUGAGCAAGAGCCCAGAGUCCCCUUGUUGUCGUCCUCUCAUGCUGAAAUAAUUGUUAACCAUUGAAAGACAGCAUCUAUUUCACAGAUUAAAGACAAAAGAAGUUGUAAAAGUAUGAGAGGGUCCAGGUUCUCCUCUGAUCUGACUUCAUGGGUGUGGAAAAAAAUGAAGCAAACAAGGACAACAGGAUGCAGAAGCUGUGAGCAAUACAUCAUCCAAGCGCAGAUGCGUGACUGCAGCUAUUUCUCACACGAAAGGUCCGUGCAACAAUUCCUGUUUAUGCAAAGCCAAAUCAUUACACAGAAAAAAGGUAGGAAUAGAGUUUAAUAAGCAUAUAGGGCAGGUUGUGAUGAUCAGCUGUAAGUCUCAAGGAUGCUGGCCAGCAAUAUGUUAAUAUUCAGUUGUCCCCUAUUGUUCUCUUCCUCUCUAUUUACCAUGCUUUUCUCCUCCCAUUUGCUCUGAGCACCUCUCUUUCCCCACUCUUUUAUUCUCUCGAGUCAAGACUCACCCCUGAUUUUUCCCCAGUGGUCCUAUUUUUG